rnacentral:lncRNA from 1 species
CUUUAUACAUAUUUAUAGGCUUAAAUUAAAAUAAACUCAUCUCAAUUAAAUGAAUUAAGGACCCAAACCAAUAAUUAAGUCCAUAAUCUAAUUUAUUACUAAGGUCCAAUAGCAAUUAAUGGCCCAAGUAUUAUUUAAACCCAAUAUGAAAUUCUCAAAGCCCAAUUAAUCAAAAUAAAUUAAAAACUAAAUAGAACUUAAGUCUAGAAUAUACUCCUAAAGUCAACAUCUCUCUUCUUCCUUCUUUUUCUUUUUACGCAGACUCCAUUUCUCUCUGUUCUCUCACCUGCGUCUCUCACUUUCCCUCUCCCUCUCGCCCGGCGACGUCGCCAGUCCUCGCCGCCUCCGGCGCGGCGAGGCCGGCGUCUCUCUCCCCUUCUUCUUCCUUUCCUUCCCUUUUCCCCAAUUCUUAAUUCAAAAUCAACCUAGGGUUUCUAAUUUUCCCCCCUUCAACUCCAGUCAACCGGCGAGUUUCACUGCCACCGUUGUCCCCGUCGCACUGCCACCUACUCCAUCUCAGGUAAGCUUCUCUUUCUCCCUCUUUUUCUCUCUGUCUCUCGAUCUCUCUCUCUGCCUUCUCUGCGCUCUUAAUCUCGAUCUCUCUCUCUGCCCCUUUGCUUGCAGCGGCCGCUGCGAGCCGCAGCGGCGCAUGCAGCGCCGGCGGUCGCCGCCGCUCUGCUCUUCUCUCCCUGCCUCUAUCUCGCUCUACUUUCUCUCAUGUCCGUGUCUCUCUGUUUUUGUCUUACUCUCUCUCGCUCAAACUCUCUGUGCUACUGGCGGCCACCGCGGACCGCCGUGGCGUGGGCAGUGCCGGCGGUCGCUGCCGCCAGUCGCGCCUCCGUCGCGGUGGCUCGCGGUUGCUGCUGCUGCUGCCAUCCUUUCCCCUGUUCUAUUUUUUNUACUCAUAACUCUAGCGUUAAUCAUAACUCUACUCAUUCUAAUUUAAUAAAUAGCUAUUAACUGGAAAUAAUAUAAAUCUAUUUUUCUCUUCUUUCUAAGAAUUUGAUUCUAUAUAAUCUAGUGUCUAAUUUAUGCAUAAUUACAUAGAGUAAUAGCAUAAUUUAAUUAUAUGUCUAGGCCAUUUAAUAAAUCAAGCCAAUUAUUAGCAAAUAGCUAAUAAUCCUUUAUACAUAUUUAUAGGCUUAAAUUAAAAUAAACUCAUCUCAAUUAAAUGAAUUAAGGACCCAAACCAAUAAUUAAGUCCAUAAUCUAAUUUAUUACUAAGGUCCAAUAGCAAUUAAUGGCCCAAGUAUUAUUUAAACCCAAUAUGAAAUUCUCAAAGCCCAAUUAAUCAAAAUAAAUUAAAAACUAAAUAGAACUUAAGUCUAGAAUAAGUCAACAUCUCUCUUCUUCCUUCUUUUUCUUUUUACGCAGACUCCAUUUCUCUCUGUUCUCUCACCUGCGUCUCUCACUUUCCCUCUCCCUCUCGCCCGGCGACGUCGCCAGUCCUCGCCGCCUCCGGCGCGGCGAGGCCGGCGUCUCUCUCCCCUUCUUCUUCCUUUCCUUCCCUUUUCCCCAAUUCUUAAUUCAAAAUCAACCUAGGGUUUCUAAUUUCCCCCCCUUCAACUCCAGUCAACCGGCGAGUUUCACUGCCACCGUUGUCCCCGUCGCACUGCCACCUACUCCAUCUCAGGUAAGCUUCUCUUUCUCCCUCUUUUUCUUUCUGUCUCUCGAUCUCUCUCUCUGCCUUCUCUGCGCUCUUAAUCUCGAUCUCUCUCUCUGCCCCUUUGCUUGCAGCGGCCGCUGCGAGCCGCAGCGGCGCAUGCAGCGCCGGCGGUCGUCGCCGCUCUGCUCUUCUCUCCCUGCCUCUAUCUCGCUCUACUUUCUCUCAUGUCCGUGUCUCUCUGUCUUUGUCUUUUUCUCUCUGUCAAACUCUCUGUGCUACUGGCGGCCACCGCGGACCGCCGUGGCGUGGGCAGUGCCGGCGGUCGCUGCCGCCAGUCGCGCCUCCGUCGCGGUGGCUCGCGGUUGCUGCUGCUGCUGCUGCCAUCCUUUCCCCUGUUCUAAUUAUUUUCCUUCUUCUUUUCUCUUUUUCUUUAUUUUCUAUUUCAAUAACCUAUUUCAGUUCUAAUACCUCAAACUAAUCAAUCCCUAGUUUUUCUAUUUCAGGAAUCCAUGAUUCAGGGUGUCUCUCGGAGUGGCUACUGCUCAAGAUCCGAUUUUUAUAUGUGAUAAAUCUAUUUCUUUAUUGUUAUUAAGAAAUUGGAACAGUGUUUAUGAAGUCAGAAUUGCAUAUGUGAUUAUAGUUAUUACUCAUCACAGUUCUUGGUUGCUGCCUUUAUGAUAUAAAGUUAACUGUAUUGAAAAGAAAGACUACCUUCUUUGAUGUCUGCUGUGGAUGAUUGUGUGUAAUUUGUGUGUUGGAUGGAUGUUUACUGGAGUAGUAGUUAAGAUUUUGCAGAAUGAAGAAAAUGGUUCAACGCUUGAGGGAUGAAGCUUAUACUGACUUGAGUCGGCGUGGAAGCUAAAUGCUACGUGUAUGAAGAAUAACUAAUCUGAAUUAAUAAUCUGAAUAAUUUAACUUACGCUAAUAAGGUUGACUAAUCUGCUUAAUGAAAGAAUGUUGGGUUUGGGCUCUCUCAUUCUUUAAUAUUCUUAGCCCAACCAAAUAGCUAUUGUUUUUAUACUUAAAAACUGAAUUCAUAUACACAAAUUGGGCUCUGGCUACUUCACAUUCAAAUAAAAUUGCUA